GGAUGUGAGGGUGAUCUGGCUGCAACAUCUGUCACUCCAUUGAUCGCCAGGGUUGAGUUAGCUGAUCUGGCUGGCGAGGUGGGCGUCCCCUUGCUCUCUCAUCACUCUAUGUGUGUCACUCUUGAGGCUGUAUACUGAGGACGACCGUUCAGUCAAGAGUAUACCAGUGGCUGUGCAUCCCUGCUAGAACCUCCAAACAAGCUCACAAAUAGGGGCAGUCAGCCUCAAAGAUGGC
rnacentral:snRNA from 1 species